CAUUGUAAAGCUUAGAAAGUUUUUUAUUUACAUUAAAAAGGAAGUUAUUAAAUUAACUUACAUUGA
rnacentral:tRNA from 1 species